rnacentral:rRNA from 1 species
CACGUAGGCACCAAGCGUUGUCCGGAUUUAUUGGGCGUAAAGAGCUCGUAGGCGGUUCGGUAAGUCGGGUGUGAAAACUUUGGGCUUAACCCAAAGCCUGCAUCCGAUACUGCUGUGACUAGAGUUCGGUAGGGGAGUGGGGAAUUCCUAGUGUAGCGGUGAAAUGCGCAGAUAUUAGGAGGAACACCGGUGGCGAAGGCGCCACUCUGGGCCGAUACUGACGCUGAGGAGCGAAAGCGUGGGUAGCAAACAGG